GCUCCAGACAUGACUCCAGGGCAAGGCGAGGGUCUGGGCCUGUGCACCAUGGCUGCUGUGCUCUGCCCUUCAGGUGUGUUGGGGACCGGACUCUUCCACCAGUUCUACACUGUGCAAAUUCAGGAGGUGCUGGGGAUGCUGUAGGUGAGCUGGGUGCUGGGAUGAAUUUUGUGAUUUCCCAAGUCCUUUCUGCCACCUGGUCACCCACCAGCAGCCAGAGAAGAGGGUUCCUGCAGCCCUUCCAGGUGCUUGCUGGCAGCGCUGGGGAUGCUGCCUGGGGACAAUGCCUGCCCGUCACACCGAAAGCCAUCACCGCACGCCAUCAUUCAAGUCAGCACUUUGCUCCUCUCCUCCCCCUCUCUUUUCUUCUCCUUCCAUCUCUUCCUUUAUCUGAACUUUUAAACCCCACGUCUGGUGCAGAUUUUUACAGUAACUCAAGCCUUUGAGAAUUGUUAAUGCCGUGCUGUUUUCACAGCGACAUUAAUAUGCACUGCAAAAAAUGCCGAGUAUCAAAAGUCGGUCACUGCUGCCGGGAGGCUGCGGGUCGUGGUGGCCACGGGAGAGCAGGAGGCAAGGACGCGACCGUGCUCCAGGGGCGCAGCUCGGGCAGGUGAGGCCCUGGAUUUGACAGGAUUUCCUCUCCGCGCCAUCUCUUCGAUGUGUCUUGAUUUAUGGCCAGGAUACUCCGCUGCACCACCAGCCGUACGGCACUGUGUGGAGACUGUCUGACUGUCGUCUCGGAAAGGUUUGUUUGUGAGUUUUUUAAGCAAGACUGCAUGGAAAUGUGUCACCAAUAAUCAGCUGUUUCCAAACAGUUCAGCAUUGAUGGGGUAUUUGUACUGGCUGCAGGCAGAAGGGCUGAUCCUGGAAGGAAACUUGGUGUGAAGUCCCCAGCCCAUUUACAGAUUCACAUGCUGGACCAUUUCUGGAUGAGAUUUCAGCUUUCUCAGAUCAGACCCUGGUUUCCCAGAGCCAUGCGAAAGGGGCAGCGCUCCUCUGCCCAAACCUCCGCUGGCCGGAGCAACUCACCUGAAACACCAAGCUCUGAACGCUGCUGGCACGGAGAGGCUCCUGGGUGCGACCGGAGUGCAGGUUUCAUCCAGAGGAUCACCUGUAGUCUGCAACUGCAACCAAGGCCAAGGAAAGUCCUUUUCUAAAGGUAACACGGAGCCAACAGGCUUGGGAGUGAGGUUUGGGGUCCACAUGCUGCACCCAGGCAUGGCUGGGCCCUCCUUGGAGGAGGGACUGGGUACAAGGAGCACAGCUCUGCCAAGGCAGGGCUGGACACUUUGGAGUCUGCAAAACUGAAAGUGGGAAGCAUUUUUGUGGUCAUCUUCAGCAUCUGCAUCUCUCUUCUGAUUUAACUGUACAUUUUUCCCAGCUUUUUCUGAUGUUUCUGUCCAGCUUACUCGGGAUCCAAUGCAUUUUAUUUCUGCUAAUGAGGUUCUGGUGAGAUGCGGGCUCUUACUGGAGUUCAGCAGUGGAUCCCUGCUGUAAGAGAGGACAGCGCGCACCCCAAAGUGUUUACAGUGUCAGGCCCAGUCCUGGCAGACGCUGGUCCGCCAGGGGAGCUGGAAGAAAUGGGAAAAUCCCUGAAAUCUUCCCUGAGCUGCCUCAGAACAGGGACUGGACCAGCCCAGAGGCCCUCAGAGCCCCAGCUCACCAGCACAGUUUGGGACUGGAGCAUCCCCACCUGCCAUGGCCAGCAGUGCUGUGGGGUGGAGCAGCAUCAUCAGGAGAGCUGUGACCUGGAUGCACCGCGCAGUCUCCUUCCUAAGCAGUAAGUAACACCCCUAAGACAGAGAUUUUUCCUGAUGGCCAAAGUACUGAGAUGCUGUUGCACAUAUGGGGAACGGUGGUGUGGUCCCCUUCUUCUGUUCCCAAAUCCCAGUCUCCCCACACUGAGCUGGGUCCCUAUGGGAAUACAGUGGUUGUGCCCAGUCCAGUCCCACUCGCUGUACACCCCACUCUCCGGGGCGCGUGUCCUUGCCUCGGCGAGGAGCAGCAUGGAAGAAGUUAGCGCUGCUGUUCCCUAUGGCAAACCAAGCUGUGGCUAAAGGAGUAUUUAGAUACCCUGGGCUGCCAAUUCAGAGCUUUCCUAAAACCAGCAGUAAAAUUUGCCUCCGAUUCCUUUUUAGGAAAAGAAGGCUGUAGUAUAAAGUCCCAUUUUCUAGGCAUUAAAAGUUUACAACCCGCACCAUUAAAAGCAGCAUUCUGUGUCAAACAAUGUUUGGUCUUCAGGAACAGCUAGGAGGAAAAGAGAAGGUUGCCUGUUUGUUCUACAAAACAGGAAAGCGGUUGCUUUCUAUACUGUAAAUAUGCAUUAGAAAGCUCUUAUAGGCUCGUGCUGGGGAUUUGAUGUUUUGAACUGACUACAUUCCUUACAUUUUUGUAUAACUGCCAAGAAAGCUAAAUAAAAUGGCUUUUUUAGUUUUUUCUCUAAGAAUAGCCCUGCUUCUUUGUAAAUAUAGCAAAGGAAUUGUUGAUAAUAAUUCUUUGGGAGAAUAACUGGUGUUAUUGAUGUUAAAAGUAGAAAGAUUGCUGUUUCUCUGUCUCAGAAAUACAGCUAACCAAGUAGGCUGGGACUUCAGAAAGCCUGAGCAUUCCUUAGCCAGUUACUGAGAUUAGACUGUUUCAUUCCUGUGCCAGAAGGUGUAGAAUCAGAGAAGACUGGCACCAAGGCUCAAGUAAAAAAAAAAAAAAAAAUUAAAAAAUUUGCAUUUUCUUUCAGAAUGCAAAACUGAACUUUUCCCCUCCUUGUUUGCAUUUCUCAGUUUGCAGAUGGUUCUGCCUUCUGCUAACUUACCCUGAAAAGCUGGGGGUUAAUCUACUAAGUCUGACUCAAAUAUGCACAAUUAAUUCUUGGGCACCCCUAAACCUCCGCAGUGUUAGGUGAAGUCCCAUCCUCCUGCAAUAUCAGCAGGCAAAGGCUGUCACCCUCAGCUAGAAGUUGACAAGUUGAGCCAAACUUUAGACUACAGGCCCCGGGCUGUUGCUGGUUUGAUGCCCUUCCUACACUCAGACCUUAGAUGUUUUUUGUAAUGCCAUAUGAUAAACUAGUGGCAAAACCAGGAUUACAGGAUGAGAAUUUGAACCAGCCUAUGCCAUGCUCUGGCUGCUAAAUAUUGCUGUCAUCCAGGAUUGGUUCAUAACCCGCUCAUAUGUCACUUCCAGGAAACAAAAAGGCUAAAAUUAAUUUUUUAGGGUUGACCGAAAGCAUCUGCCUUCCCUAUAGUUGAGGCAACGUCUUACAAAGGCCCCCUGUCAUCAACCAGACCUGCACUUCAGUUAAGCAUGCAGAGACUUGGUGCUUGUUCAACCGGGCCUCGUCAGGGCUGGUAGCCCUCGUCAGGAUCAUUUUUCAAAACAGAGACUCAGUGGGGCCAGGCUGCAGCGUACACUGCCCAGACGCUGCCUUCUGCUUGUUCUGACUCUGCCUCCUCCUCGUUUCCCCAGCUGCUCCCUACCUCUGCCGGAAAAGCUGGUAAAUGGUGGUUCCUGAUUCAACUUUGCCAGUGCUGCUCAGCAGUUUAUAGGCCUCCAUUAUAUUCUCUCACUUGUUUACUUCCCAGACUGAAACGCCUCGGUCUCUUUAGUUAUUCCUCAUAGAGAUAUAGUAGGUAAGAAUAGGAAAAUUUUGGGAAAAGAGGUAACCAGUCACUCCUGUCAUGACUUUUUUUCCUCCUAUUGUCUGUUUGGUUACGUGGUCUCCUUGUCAGUGAGCUGUACUCUAUGCCAGAUGGCAUUUGAGGCCAAGCAUCUUAGCAUCUUCUGAGCCAAAGGAAUCGUUUUGUGUUUCGCCUUCAAGCCUGUGCUUGU